UAAAAGUACCUUGCCGGCUGGCUUAUUGCCGGACAAAAGUACCUUGCCGACUCGGCUAAAAUUACCUUGCCGACUGGCUUAUUGCCAGCUAAAGUUAUCUGAUUUACUCCAAGGAUAAGUCAUACCAAUGCCAUUUGAUUUAUGGCUGACUUGCUUUCUCCAUAUCCCAAUAAACUAUAGAUUAUUUACUAGCAGGUGAUUAUUUUUUACCUGAUUUGCUACCGUCCAACUUACUUACCAGCUUAAAUUAAAGUCCUGAUUUGCUACCGUCCAACUUACUUACCGGCCUAGUUUGACGAGUUACACUUAUUGUCGAUCUGAUUUAAAAAGUCAUACCCCAUAACAUGUAAUUCACAGUCGGCUUACCGUCUGUACUUUCUGCACGGUUCUCGUUCUCGUUAUGAUGUUUGUGUGUAUUUCGUUGUGACAUAAGUAGUUUUAACUAUAAUUUUAUUACUCCAUAGCCAACCUGCCAUAAGCUAAUUAAUUGCCCUUUGCUAGGCGGCAUUUAUAAGUGCUUAAUAAGUUUAUGAUUUUACGGCACCGCUGCAUUAGAGGUGAAGGUUUGGGAGACCGUAAUCAGGUUCUUAAUAUGACCAAGUUAAAUUGUGCAGGUUAUGUGUUUGUUAAAUUAAAGGUUAAAUAAGCCCACCCCAAGUUUACCUGGGAUGAUGAGAUUAGUUCUGCCGGCAUGUACCCUCCCGGUAAUAGUCGCCAUAAUUUGCCUACUGACAAGAGUUACAGUAGUAGUACAAAUAUAAUCUACAGUCACUUGUGAGAAUACAAUUAUGGUUUUGGGUCUUCUACCUGCUGACUGCCGAAGGUUAAAACCUUAGGUGGAACCGAUUUAUCUCAAUUUCUAUUACGAAAAGUUUUACAUUGGGUGGCAACUCAUAUAAUCUUACCGGUCUAAUUUUGCCGGUGUGUUACCAGGGUAGUCUGAAACUACCUGGUUUAUGUGAAGUGAUGUUAGAAUAAUAGUUUGAGCAAGAAAUUAUUAUCAAGUGAUUAAUUAUUACCUGAUUUACUACCGGCAUGAUUUGAAAGUCCAUAACCCAUAGUCUGAUAGUCACAUACCCUCUAAAUUGUUGUCAGCCCUGUGUGUAAAAUAGUUGUUAUGAUGAUGUGUGUACAUGAAUUGCCACAAGUACUCCUUAACGUUCGUUUGCCAGCAAGUACAAAGAGUAAUAAGAUUUAGAACCUUAUACCGUUUGAAAAUGCUGGCAACUAGUUUAUUGUCAGUCAUUGUGGUUUGCACUUUGCAGUCGUACUAUUUCUCUGUCACAUAAAAAUUACAAGGUGGAUGAAUUCCCUCACUCUCCCUUGUCAGCUUACGCAUGUAAUAAUCCUAUGUUUUUAAAUAGGUUACCAUCUAGCCAUAAUGGACAAUACAAUUGUGUUAGUGUUACUUCUAACCCAUUACCUAUAGAUUUGGGUCCAAAUCUUCGCCAUUUACAAAUGGGUAAAGUUUUAUGUGAAACCGAGUUUCUACUCUCUGUCGGGUCAAACUUAGAAAGUUACUACCAGUUUAAUUUGCACAUGGUCUAAAUUCUUACCAUCAUAAUCUUACCGUAAGGUACAUGCCUUAUACUUUGCUGUCAGCUUUGAUAUUUUCAGCAAACUACUGUGCUACCUGCUUUUGUUUCCAGUCGCACUAAAUUGUUGUCAGCCUAAAGUGGUACUCCCUCUGUCCCUUAAUACUCGACCUGUUUUGACUUUUCGCACUAUUCACAUAAUUCACUUUGACCCUAUUUUAUUUCUAGUAUAUAAAAACAAAUGUUAGUAUAUAAUAUAUUGUUGGUUUCAUCUUAAUAUGUAUUUUCAAAAUAUAAUAUGUUUAUAAGUUUUUAUAAUAUGUAGUUAAAGAAAUUGGUGGUCAAAGUUGUGCAUUGGCAAACGUGUCCGAUCAAAACAGGUCGAGUAUUAAGGGACGGAGGAAGUAAAUUAUAAUCAGCAAAGAGUAGUAAUCUCACCCCAUACUCCUUUAUGUUUUAUUUGUUGCCAAAUGCGAUGCUUCUUAAUUCGCUGCCAGUCAUAUGCAAUCAGCAAUCCGUCUAGACAUGAAUUGUCUACUGACUAAAUCCCCUCUAGACUCAGAGGAGUGAGUCAUGUUGUGAGAGUUUUCCAAAAAUCAUAAUCUAGUACCAUUUAAUUUACUACCAGUAGAUACCAGUCUUAUUUGCAAAAUCAAAGUCCAUACCGGUCUUUUUAAGCGGCAUCGACUUAAUUCAUUUGUUGUUAGCAAGAGUUUAAGUACUCCAACUGUCUUGUAAGUUUCCACGUGUUUGUUAAGUGUAUAUUAUGCAACAUCUUGUAAUAAUGAAUACCAAGGGCCACCUACUUUCCUACCAAGAGCUUGCUAUUUUUGUUUCUUAAAAAGCCGAGUAUGUAUAUUCAUAAUUACGUGAUAAUAGGCGGAUGCAACCAUUUUAUUUGCAACCGGCAUUUUAAACGGCCUAAGUCGUUAGGUGGUGUUUGAUAAAACUAAUAAGUUCAAUAGCCAGAGUAAAUCUAAUUUAUGAUUUAAUUGUAAGAUCGAGCUAUCAUUCAUUCAUUUGUGAUUUACUGUCCAAGUAUUAAAAUUUUCUGCCAGCGAAAUCCUUGCCAGGCUAUGUGCUACUAUCUAAAGGGAAUUGCAAACCAUAGUAUAGAAGUUUUUGAAAAAUCACACUCAUACCAUUUAGUGAGACUGUGUGCUACUGUCUAAAGGGAUGUCGGUCUAAAAGUGUUAGGCCCCAUACCUUCUAAUUUUAUCACUGAUUGUGCUAGAAGUAAAUUUAAAAUAAAACAAGUAAUAUAAAAUAAAAAUUCUUUCUAGCAGCCUGCAACUCUGCAAGGCCAUACCUUGUACCAAGCAGCUUUGUACCACACCUAAACAUAAGUGUCAAUCACAAUCUCUCUGUCAUACCAUAAGUGUUGAUGAAGUCAGACUUAGUCUAUAUUUUAUUGAGGAAUAGUUCAUACUUCCCGUGUCGGUUGAAGUUAAUAAGAAGAUUUAUUGUUUGCAGGAGCUUCUCAUAAUACAAUUGUUGGGUAAUAGCUCCUGUCAUCGAAUUUAUUGCAUAAAGUGUUGUGAAAAAAGGAUAUUCUUACCAUAUAAUUCGCAACCGGCCUAUUUCUUGAUGGACCCGUAAAUAUGUUGAUUACCAAGGGCUUAGCUCACUCACCGUCAAAGAUAGUAUUAAGCACUCUAUUUUGUGAAUUAUACAAGGGUCGCAACUCCAAUCUGAAUACCAUGGUAUAUUGCUUCAAGUUGUGUUGGUAAAGGGUAGUAGUAGCAUACCUGUAUUAAAUAUUGUUGGUAGUAAUAAGAUUUAGAAUCUUAUACCCAUUUGCUGGUCAUGAUAUCAAGUUUUUUACAGAUUUAAAUAAAGCAUAGUGCAUUCAUAUGGUGGUUAAAGGUUAUUAAGAGUCUCAUUACAUAUACAAUCCCAUUUGAAAGCGGAAAGUGGCCAACUUCAGUUUGUAUGUAAUUCGUUUGAUAUGUAUGAUAUAGGUGCUUAAUCCAACCAUUGCCUCGCAUUUUCCGAGUUGAAGUCUAGUCAAUCCCAUGAUAACCUAUGAAAGACAUUUCAUCAUUUACGGACGUAAGCAGAAAAUUUCUGAAAAAGGGAUAAGCGGGCAACAAUUACAACACUUCAUCGUGCGCUAAGCAGGAAAACUCUGAAAAGAUAAGCUUGCAGCAAUUACGAUAAAAGUCAGGAAAGUCUCCCUAAAUCCUUAUUGUAUAUGCUUGAUGUUAAGUAUGGUUAUACGUGAUUAUAUGCAUGAGAAGGGAACUACUUCUUAAUUAUUCAUUACACUCACAUGAAGUAUGUGGUUCAGUGGUUACACUCCUAAGACACAAAGUCAGCCUAAAAAGAAAGAGAAAAGCACUAUGAUCUUAAGGUGAUAUGUUGUUCCAACUAUGUUAGCUAGUACCAAUCAUGAUGUAUGUUGCAACGAAUCAGGCUUAGAGGUGUCAAGUUUCAAUAAGGUUAAGCCUUUAGCGACUUGACUAAUCGGAAGUAAUCGUGUCCAAUUCUCUUGUAUGUUGUUAGUUGUAGCCAACAAAUACAGUCGUCGUGGAAUAAAACAUUUAAUAUGGACUCAUCUAACUGCCAAGCAUGUAAAGUUAGUCGUACCACCAAUAAAGUUCCACAAAUGGCUUAAAUAGUCUAUUUUCAAUUUAGUAAGGAGUCUUGGUAUUGUCCCUAAAUAGUCCGCAUUAUAAUUAGUGCUGCAAGAAAGUUUUUAUCAAAUUUGAGGAACUAGCAGGUAAAAUGUAACACAGUAAUGGCCAAAAGUUUUUUCUUAAAUUAGCAGUGAAAGAGUAAAGGGGUGGCAUUCCCUAAAUGGUAGAAGCUUGGACUGACUUCGAGUCAAAUAAUCACACACUCACUCAUAUGAGCGUAUGAGCGUAUCAUAUCCUAAAUUUGUCAUGUAGUAUUAGCACCUAAAAUUAAGCCUCGGUUUAAGGGUACUAAAGAAUAAAUAGAAUGCCGUAACAUUUCUCAAAUCUCGUUAUAACUUUAUGAAUAAAAUGCAUGUUGGAGCUUCAAGGUAGUAUAAUCAGUAGUCAUGAGACUCUAAAACUCGCAACUGUAUGUCUGUAUACACUACUCAAUGAAUGGUGCUUUUAAACUUGUUUAAAAUGUUAAAUAAAUGCCCAAUGACAUCCCAAUAAAAGCCAAGGAACUCCUUAGUGGCUAUAAAUUUAUUGGUUUGGAGUAAAUUAUCUACGCACUUAACCAUAUGAUCCGCAUAAAAAAAUUGUUAAAAUCAUGUUCGUGCUAAUACAACUUUCGUAUCAAGAGGGUUGACGUGUUAACUUCUCGCACAAUAUGAUGAUGCCAUGCUAGUAUGUCAUAAGAUCUGCAUGAUUAAAGUACCAUCCCUUGUCUAAAUGCAUGUAUUCCUUUUAAGUUUCACGAUCGGAAAUUAAUCUCUUACCGGUCAAAUUUCUUUACCGUCAUUUGAGGUGCAUAUAAUAGACAAAUAUUAUACUAAUAGCUAUGAGGAUGUUGUGCAAUCUCACAUAUACAUUUGAUUUGGUUAACUAUGAUUAUCACCUUAUAUUCUCUACAACAAGAUUGCAGUUGCUAAAUAGCCGGUAUGUUUGAUAUAAGUAAAAGGCCGACAUCGCAUAUCAAAGGUGAAAUAUGGCAACCAAUAAAAUGUAUGGAUGUGAUCAGUAGCUUUGGGGAAAAUAAAUGCCGUAAGGGCACUCCACUGUGAAGCGUAGCAGUCCAUAAGGAAUGGAUGUGAUCAGUAGCUUUGGGGAAAAUAAAUGCCGUUAAGGGCACUCCAUUGUGAAUCGUAGCAAUCCAACGAAAUGUAUGGAUGUGAUCAGUAGCUUUGGGGAAAAUAAAUGCCGUAGGGGCACUCCACUGUGAAGCGUAGCAGUCCAUAAUAAAACAUUGAUAAAAUACAAACGACAAGGCAUAUCAAUAGAAAAAUGGGCUAUUCGUCCUAAAAAAUCAAGGAGGUUAGUCGUCCUAAAUAUUAAAUAGGCUAGUCGUCCUAAAAAAUCAAGGGGGCUAGUCGUCCUAAAUAUUAAAUAGGUUAGUCGUCCUAAAAAAAAGGGGGGGGGGGGCUAGUCGUUCUAAAUAUUAAAUAGGCUAGUCGUCCUAAAAAAUCAAAGGGGCUAGUCGUCCUAAAAAAAAUCAAUGGGGCUAGUCGUCCUAAAAAAUCAAGGGGGCUAGUCGUCCUAAAUAUUAAAUAGGCUAGUCGUCCUAAAAAAUCAAGGGGGCUAGUCGUCCUAAAUAUUAAAUAGGCUAGUCGUCCUAAAAAAAUCAAAAGGGCUAGUCGUCCUAAAAAAAAUCAAUGGGGCUAGUCGUCCUAAAAAAUCAAGGGGGCUAGUCGUCCUAAAUAUUAAAUAGGCUAGUCUUCCUAAAAAAUCAAGGGGGCUAGUCGUCCUAAAUAUUAAAUAGGCUAGUCGUCCUAAAAAAUCAAGGUGGCUAGUCGUCCUAAAAAACCAAAGGGGCAAGCAAAAUAGAUUAUUAGUUUUAUCUGCAUAUCUUCGACUCAUGAGCAGAAUCAAGAUAUCCGCCAAUUCUGCGAACCUCUGCAGAUAAGGGGGCUAGUUGUACGGGGUGAUUACUUUUUCAGAGCAAGCACAACAGUCUAAGACGGUUGUACUUACUCUGAGGGGCCAAUUGUACGGGAUACUCCCGUAGGCCCAAUUCUAUACCAGAAUAUCAUAUUCUAGUGUUAUGGGCCCAAAGUGCAAUAAAGGCCAAGGCCCAAUCUAUGACCUAAUAAUCCAUCAAACCCCUAUAAAUACUCAUUUAUGGGGGAAGGUAAACUUAACUUCUCUACACUCUCUACUCCCUCCUCUCUGUACUCCAUCUCUUUAUGAUAUAUUACUAAUGUUGGGCGUCGGAGGCUCCGAUCCGGGGAACCUCCCUCGGGUUCGGGGUUUACUUUGCAGGAAAUCACCUCCACAUUCAAGAUACGAAGAUCCGACCACACCACCGAUUCCAAUACCGGAACACCUACUACCACCGUAAUUCCAUUUGGUUGUCAACAAAUACUCCCUCUGUUCCGGCAUAUUCGCACCACUUUUUUUAUAAAGCCAUCCCGAAUUAAUCACAUUGUUUCUAUAAAUGGUAAACCUUAUUAAUAUUAUAUUUACCCAUUGACCCACAUAUAUCUCUAUUUACUUUAAAAACCUUAAAAAAGUAAGUCAUUAUCAACUACGACACUACACCUUAAAAAGGUUUUAUGUUUCCAAUAUUUAUAUUAAAAAAUACCAAGAGUUAAUUACAUUGCAUUAUACACUCAUUUGAUAAAAAUGUCUAGAGAGAGAAAGAGAAAGAAAAAGAAACAUGAGAGGCCCAAGGUUUCUUAUGAGAGAAGGAAAACCCUAAACUGGUCCAGCCCCCUUCCCAAGUUCAUCGCAUUUUCAGAUCUAGGUUUUCCUCCUUGUCCCAUUUUCAGAAAGAGAUUCCCCUAAAAAUCUCUAGACUAAGCCUUAAUAGGGGUAAUUAUGGCUUCUGCAAUUGCGGAUUGGUGCCUCGUUGGUAUCAAAAUCUGAUUUUACUGUUCCGAUCUCUUUCUUGCCUUCAUCAACAAGGCACCGUUGAUCCAAGGGUGGAGAGAUCUGCUGAGUCAUCAGAUCUUGGGCUUUUCAACAGUAAUGAUGGUUUAGAUGGGUUAAUUAAAGUAUUUACUCCACUAAUACAAGUCCACCGCCCAGUUUGGACCUAUGGAAUGGCUUAUCCAAAUGCAAAAGUUGCAAGAUCUCCACUUUUUCGAAAAUCUCCUCAGGGAAGUCUCUCUCCAAGCUCUUCCUUGCCUUUUCGAUUCUUUUCUGUCAUUUACUGCUUGUUUUCGCGUUGUUUCAAUGCAUGCAUUUAUUUGAUUUGUGUUUUAUUUCAAGCUGGAUGAUGAUUACUUUUUGGUUGCAUUUUAAUUUUGUUAUUCUAGAUCCUUCUGUUUACAAGAAUUGUUGUAGGUGGUGUUGUAGUGUGACCUUUGAUCUCCCUAAGUCUCUUAGCCAAGUCUAUAAAUACUGUAUGUUUCUUUCCUGUGAGUACCACUUCUUCUCUUACAGAAGCCCUCUCAAAAUUAAUGUUGCUCUCAUCUCUUGCCUAGUUUGUUCUAAGUUCUUUGUCCUUGUGUUUACCCUCUUUAAUCUGUUUAGUCUUUGGGUUUUAAUGUCAAACAAUCCUGUUGAGUCUAGCUAUGCCUCACUUCUUAAGAAGAACCAUCCUGCAGUUUCCAAUGAACCUAAACUUGCCAGCUUACCUAGUAAUCCAGGUUCUACCAGCUUCUUCAGUCAUACCACCCAUAGCUCCUUUCUCCUGGGAGGUAGCAGUUCUGAUACUGAUCCCAAUUCCUCAUCUAAGGACAGUACACACAAUUAUUCACCACAGGUUCCUAGUUCGAAUAAUGCCACCAUCACCUUAGAUGCUCCUAAACUCGACCAUGAUCAAAUUAAGCUCAUGGAAGCCACCUGUCUCUUUGGGAAAGUGUGGGGUGAGUUUGUGCUUCAAGCUGCUGUCAUUGGUAGGAUGAAAAGAGACUGGACUUUUAUGAGGGGGGAGGUGCCUUUUAGGUGAAGGAAAUAAUUCCCUUGGUCCAAGUAUGCAUAUAAUGUUAAGUCUAAUAAAUGCGGUUCAGUAUUAAUUAACAAGUUAAUAAUUCAGUGAGAUCAAGUGAGCUGAAUGCCUAGCUAGAGGCCGCUUCAGUUCAAGUGGAAUUAAUUAUAUUAAUCCACAGCUUACUCUUGACUGAACCCGUAGGGUCACACAAAUAGUACGUAAACGGAUCAAGUAUUUAAUGGCAUUAAAUACUCCAUCUAUGGAUAUUCGGAAUCGACGGAUCUUGGUUCCAGUGGGAGCUGAGAUCGUCAAAGGCAAGAAAUGAAUACUCCGGAAACGAUGAUAUUGCCGGAAAUGGAAAUAUGGAUCGUAUCGGAAAUAUAAAUAUUAUCCAAGUCGUAGAUGUUGCCGGAAACGGAAACAUUGUACGUAUCGGAAAUGGAAAUAUUGCCGGAAUCGGAAAUAUUGCCGGAAACGGAAAUAUUGUCAGAAUCGAAAAUAUUAUCAGAAUCGGAAAAUAAUUCCGGAAACGGAAAUAUUAAAUAUUUGUUCGAGACGGAAAUUUAUUCCGGAAUCGGAAAUAUUAAAUAUUGUUCGUAUCGGAAAUGAAUUCCGGAAUCGGGAAAUUAAUCGGAAGUGCAUCGUACGAAUUAGCAUCGGACGAGCUUGCUAGACGAAGGCCCAGCAUGAAGCCAGGACCGCGUCCAGCAAACCAGCGCGCCACACGAACAGCUAAGGCCACGCCAGGCCCAGCGCAAGGCCAGGCCCAGCAGGCUGUGGCUGCGCGCACAGCUGCGAGCAGUGGGCUGCGAGCAGUGCUAUUGCGCUCGCGUGGGCUUAUAGCUCACGUGGGCCGAGCGGCCGUGUGGGCUGUGUGCAGGCCAUGCCUGCACGCUUGCGGGUCAUGCUCGUGUAGUGUUUGUGUUCACAUACGAAACCUAAAACGUAUGGGAUUUGUUUAAUAAUUAAAUUCCUAAUCCUAAAAGAUAAAUUAAUUAUAUAAUUCUACUAGGAUUCUAAUUUAAUUAAUUCGUAUCCUAGUAGGAUUCGAUUACUUAUUCCAUGGCCUAUAAAUAUGAGUUAAGGGCUCAUAAUUUAUAUAGAUUUUCAAGUAUUCAAACAAUAAAAAGCUAAGAUUUUUAAGUAGAAAAAUCAGCCAUAUUCUUGCCCUAUUAGCCGAAAAUAUAUAGUACCUUAAGGGCGAUUCUAGUUGUUCAAUCUUAAGGCGGAUCCGGACUUGCUGUGGACUAUCUACGGAGGGACGACACUUGGAGUCCUAAAGCCUUGUUCUUGUUCGGUUCGGGCGCAACUAGGGAGGGCACGCUACAAAGUGUAUGCAUCUGAAUUAUGCUAAAUGAUUAUGUGUAAAUAAUAUGUUUCCUGGCUUUAUGGUUUUUCCGCAUGAUUUAUGUUUAUUCAUAUGUAUCAUAAACUAACAGUGGUAUCACGAGCCUCUUAUUAUUUUCAUAAUCUAAAUUGCAUGAACAUGGUUAAAUUUUACAAAUUUGCAAAGAAUUAAAGGGGUGAUUAAUUUUCGUAAUUAAUUGCAAAUUGCGUUUAUUUAAUUAUAUGUAUGCAGUUUUUCGGCAGUUUCUUCGUUACUCAUCCAAAUCGAGUAAUUUUUGUGUCAAUUUCGCAUGUAAAAGGCAUUCUAAAAUUUUGACAAAAACAAUAUUUUUCGGCCGAAUCCAGAAUUCCCAAAUUCGAAGCCUAACUAUGACUUUUCGGAGGUUUUAGUUUUCGAACGCAAAAGUUUGUAAAUUUAAGAUGUUAAAUUAAGUAUUUGCAAUUCUUGUUGAUAAAUCUUGAGUUUUUGAUUGACCUACUGUAUAUGUUUAACAAUUAUGAAUGCCUAGACUUGUUAAUUAUACAACCUAAUUUGUAAUUAUGAUUAAUUUGUUGAAAUUCGAAUAAUUUAGAAUUGAUUUGUUUUUCAUAAUUAAUUAAUAAUUUAAUUAGGUAUCUAUGAUUAAAACCCACCAUAAAAAUUGAUAAUUUAUGUUAAAUUUUUAAUUUUUAUGACCUAGAUUUGAAUCCUUGUUAAUCAGAAAUUAAUUGAUUAAUAAAUUUUCGAUUUUUCGCCCUAAAAUUAUGAAAUUAUUAUGUUUUAUUAAUUUGUCAUUAAUUUUAAAUUAAAAAUUUUAAAUUUUUAUGAAAACGCCCAUAAAAGUUGCACGCACAAAGCAAUGGAAGCUACGUGUUACCCUUAAGGGGUGUUGUAUAGUGCGGGCACGAGACGACGAGCAAGGGAGCUCGUCGCCCGUGCGGUACGAAUGCAGCGAGCAACGAACGUGGCAUGCACAAGGCAAUGCGCCUAAGGGGUGUGUGCUACGCGUGUGGGCGAUGGGGCAACGGGCGAGCAAGUGUAGCGAGCAAGGCAAGCACGCGUGGGCAGCGAUGGAUGCUGCGCCACACAUGCGUUGCCUCGCUCAGCAGCAUGCCAAGGCAUAGGCCAAGGCAGCGACGAGCUGUCCAGCAAGCCAUGCCCAGCAGCGCGCCAAGGCGAUGGGCGAGUGGGCUACGCGCAAGCGUGGCUCGCUGGGCCUGACGCAUUGGUGCGUUGUUGCUUGGGCUUCGCGGUACGAUCAAUCGAGUGACAAGGGGUUUGUUGCUUGUUGGACUUGACGAGGUAUGGGCGCAAGCCCAUGGCCUUGUCUUGACCCGAUUGGUUCGUUUUAAUUUUAAUUUGAAUUUUUCAGUUCGGAAAUAAUUUAAUUAACGUUAAAAUUAAUAAUUUAAAUUGUUUUCUCGGGAUUUAAUUUUGAUUAUUAUAAUUAUUAUAAAUUUUAAUUUAUACUAAUUAUUUUACUAAAAUUAAACCUUGAAUUAAUUUAAAUUCGUUUAAUUCAACUGAAAUCAAUUAAAUAAAUGGAUUCGAUUAUAAUUUUAUAUGAGCUUUAAAUUUUAAUUAAACUUGUAUGUUUCCGGUUAGACUAGAAAUACAAUUUUAUUUUUAAAAUUAGUAAAGUAUAUAAAGUUAUUGGUUUAAGUGGGAGCAAUUUUAGUCAUAAAAUCUUGAUUAGGUCUGCAAAUCCUUUAAGGUUAAACAACUUGAUUAGAAUUAAUAAAGAUUGAAUAAUUGGUAGAUUAUUGGUGCCCUUAAUUAAUUGCUGCAAAUAUUUAUGUGAUGCAUACAAUGUGUUUUAACUAACCAAUUAUGUGGGUCAUUCAUGAUAAUGAAUGGAUGAAUGGUAUAUAUUGUAUAUGUACUGUUUUGCAGGUUAUGAAGUGACUUGUAUGGCCCAAAUAGGAUGGAAAAUAUGGUCUGCGUACCAUUAAUUUGAAUGUAAUUGGUCUAAAGCACCAAAUUUGUUUUUCAAUUCAAAUAUGGUCUGCGUACCAUCAAAUAGUUGUAAUUAGUUUAAUUAUAAUUUAUCCUAUUUGAAGAAAAUGGCGCCUCCUACGGUGAAAUUCAAGACGGAGUUUCCAAUCCAUUUUCAAGACGGACUUUGAAGUUGAAGCUUCAAGAUUAAGUCGGGCCAUACUAGAUCACAAUUAUCUUAUGCAUGCUUUAAGUUAUUUAUUGCUUUUAAAUAUGUCUUAAAUAUGCAUGAGAUCAAAGCUUGAUUAUGUUGCAUGAUUAAGGAUUUUAGUUCACUUAAAAUCUAACCAACAUAGUAAGAGCCUUAUGUUGCAUGUAAACCCAGAAUUUCCAAAUUCGAAGCCUAACUAUGACUUUUCGGAGGUUUUAGUUUUUCGAACGCAAAAGUUUGUAAAUUUAAGAUGUUAGAUUAAAUAUUUGCGAUUCUUGUUGAUAAAUCUUGAAUUUUUGAAUGACCUACAGUAUAUGUUUAACAAGUUUGAAUGCCUAGCCUUGUUAAUUAUACAACCUAAUUUGUAAUUAUGAUUAAUUUGUUGAAAUUCGAAUAAUUUAGAAUUAAUUUGAUUUUCAUAAUUAAUUAAUAAUUUAAUUAGGAAUCCAUGAUUAAAAUCCACCAUAAAAAUUGUUAAUUUAUGUUAAAUUUUUAAUUUUUAUGACCUAGAUUUGAAUCCAUGUUAAUCGGAAAUUAAUUGAUUAAUAAAUUUUCGAUUUUUCGCCCUAAAAUUAUGAAAUUAAUAUAUUUUAUUAAUUUGUCAUUAAUUUUGAAUUAAAAAUUUUUAAUUUUUAAUUUUUUUUGAAAACGCUCAUUAAUGUUGCACGCACAAAGCAAUGGAAGCUACGUGUUACCCUUAAGGGGUGUUGUAUAGUGCGGGCACGCGACGACGAGCAAGGGAGCUCGUCGCCCGUGCGGUACGAAUGCAGCGAGCAACAUAGUGCAUGGCGCGCGCACGAGGCAAGGGAGCAUAUGCGCGUGUGCUGUGUGCUGUGGCGAUGGGCGAAGGGCGAUGGCAUGGCACGUGCAGAGGCGCGCGCGCGCGAGGGCGAGAGCUGGUCGCCCAACGAUCGCUGCUCCGCGCACCAACAUGCGUGGCCUCGAGGGCUUGCUUGCGCGCGAGCGCGCGAGCACUCCCAUCGUGGCUGCUGCGAUGCAUGCGGGCGAGCAGGCUGCGCGCAAGCGUGGCUUGACUUGCUGCGUUUGCGCGUGGCUGCUGCUGCGAUGAGCCAUGGGCCAGCGAUAAGUCGUGCACUCGACAGGGCUUGGGCGCAAGCCCAAGUGCUCGUCAUGUUACGAUUAUCAAGUUUUAAAUUUUAAUUUGAGAUUUUCAGUUCAUAUAAUUUUAAUUAAUUUUAAAAUUAAUAAUUUAAAUUGUUUUCUUGGAUUUUAAUUUUGAAUAUUAUAAUUAUUAUAAAUUUUAAUUUAUUAUAAUUAUUUUACUAAAAUUAAAAACCUUGAAUUAAUUUAAAUUCGACUGAAAAUAAAUUAAAUAAGUGGAUUCAAUUAUAAAUUUAUAUGAGCUUUAAAUUUUAAUUAAAUUUGUAUGUUUCCGGUUAGACUAGAAAUACAUUUUUAUGUUUAAAAUUAGUAAAGCAUAUGAAUUUAUUGGUUUAAGUGGGAGCGCUUUUAGUCAUAAACUCUUGAUUAGGUCUACAAAUCCUUAAGGUUAAAACAACUUGAUUAGAAUUAAUAAGGACUGAAUAAUUGGUAGAUUAUUGGUGCCCUUGAUUAAUUCCUGCAAAUGUUUACGUGAUGCAUAAUGUGUUUUAACUAACCAGCUAUGUGGGCCAUUCAUGAUAAUGAAUGGGUGAAUGGUAUAUAUUGUAUAUGUACUGUUUUGCAGGUUAUGAAGUGACUAGUAUGGCCCAAAUAGGAUAGAAAAUAUGGUCUGCGUACCAUUAAUUUGAAUAUAAUUGGUCUAAAGUACCAAAGUUGUUUUUCAAAUUCAAAUAUGGUCUGCGUACCAUCAAAUAGUUGUAAUUAGUUUUAAUUAUAGCUUAUCCUAUUUGAAGAAAAUGGUGCCUCCCACGGAGAUUUUCAAGACGGACUUUGAAGUCAAAGCUUCAAGAUGAAGUCGGGCCAUACUAGAUCACAUUUAUCUUAUGCAUGCUUUAAGUUAUUUAUUGCUUUUAAAUAUGUCUUAAAUAUGCAUGAGAUUGUGGCUUGACUAUGUUGCAUGAUUAAGGAUUUUAGUUCACUUAAAAUCUAACCAACAUAGUAAGAGCCUUAAGUACCAAACUUAAAAAUUGAGUUAAAAGGUGUCAUGCCAAAAUAAACACUUACUUGGAUAUCCUUUACAUCAAUCUAGUAAUAGUUUUCGCUCAGCGAGGUGUUAUUUAUUGGUCCUAAAUGGGUAAGGUACACAAAUAAUUAUGAGUACAAGUUAGUUUUGGUGAAACUCAACGAUAUAAGUAAUGAGUCCUUUUAUGUCGUGGCAAAAUCGAUAGGUUUACCUAAUAAGUUCUUAGACGUACCUAUCAACCAAGAGUAGUUUCUAGACUAUUAGCAAAAGGCUUUUGCUUACCUAAAAUGUUUUAGAAUUGAGUCAAAAUACAUAAUGUGCUUAAUUCUUCAAUGGUUUUAGGGUCUUGGAAUCAUUUUAUUCACACCUGUCGGAACAUUAAAUUCGAAAAAAAUGCUAAUAACUUGUUUAAAUUGCAUGAAUGCUUUAAUUUUCAAGUUAUUACUCAUGAUAAAUGUUUAGACUUUGCAUGCUUUAAUGUAUGUUUUAAUUAUUGUUUAUAAUUAAAUAUCUUGCACUGCAGUAAACCCUUUUAGAAAGGUAACAGUAAAUUUCCUCGAUUGGUAAUGAAUCCAAGAACGAUUCACGGAAAUGAGAGAAAAUGAGCAAUUUAAAUGUACGUUUCUUUUAGUGACUUUUAUGGUUGUUUUCGAGUAUCAAAAUCGAAUGGCAAACCAAUUGGUGCUUGUGAAUUCAAAAUACACUGUAGUUUUGAGAUCAUAAAGCAUUGAGUUUAAACUCUCAGCUUUACCAAUGGUUAACAACCUAAUAUCUUUGUCCAUUUAAUUCUCGAAUGAGUCUAGCCCUUAGACAUUCGAAUAGAUCGAUGCUUAGAGAACUUUAGAAGCUUCUGGUAAGAUCAUCUAGUUGAAACAAAACAUUCAACAUAAAUUAAAAUGGUAAGAACCUUUUUGGAGUGACAUUGGACAUGUCUAACAAAGUAUAAAAGUCAACACUAAAGAAUUCAAUUCUUAAGACUAUAAGAAAGGGUACAAGAAAUAGGAAAACAAAGGAACAAAUGAAAGGAAUUUACGAUUCCUUUUCUACCUAUAAGUUUAUGUUUAAAGAGAAGUGACAUAGCAAUAAAACUUCAUUGGUAUCAUAUACCGCUUGAGGUUCUUACUUCGGUAAUAACUCAAAUAAUGGAAGCUAGGCUACACUAAUGUCCUACAAGUGGGAAAUGAAGCAUGGCAAUGCUACAUUAGUUGUAGGGUCAUCUAGUUUGUUUUAAGUCCUUUCAAAGGCUGGAACUUAAUGGCUAUUUUGUUCCAUAAUCAGCAUGCCUAAAUUUCUGUUUUCAAACACAGAAAGACUCACAUUCAAGAAAAACAAAAGCAAUGUUUGUUUGUUUAUUUGAGUGAAAUGGUCAAUUACGGGUUGAGUCAAUAUGCUUGAUUAAAACAAACAACUCUUUAACAAUAAAAACUUUACUAGGUUCAAAUCAACCCCUUGAUUUGAGUUCCACUAAUCUUUGGCACUGUUGCUUAGACCAUAUCAACAAGUUAACAUUCAAAAGCUCUAUUUUGAUGGACUUUUGAAAGUUGAUUGAUUUCUAGUUCUAUUUAAGACAACUAGUCUUACUUGUUGAAAGUAACAAAAGAUAUGAACUAUUGUUAGAACGCCUAGACAAUAGAGUUCAAAGCUAAAGAAAGGUUUUUAUGACUUUAUUAUUUCACACAUAUUUGAGUGAAUAUAGGUUUAUUUACUCAAUGUGAUAUAAGUUUGAAUCUGUUUGGCUAGUUCAAAGAUUCAGAAGUAUAAAUCCCACUUGGUAAGGAAUCAUAAAGAUCUAGGAUAGAUCAUGUUAAUGAUUGCUUGAGACAAAAAAUGAUCAUCAAUGAUUGUGUGUUGUAAUUUCACAAUCUAGCUCCAUGAGAUAUGGCAUAUCUAAGUGGAAUGAUCGAAGUCAAUUAGUACUUGAUUCGAUCAAUGAUGAAUCAUAAAGACUUUUCCUAUAAUUUCUAAAACAAAAUGCUCAACUACCACCAAACUAAACCAAAUUCGUCAAAGCUAUUGAAAAGUAAUUUCAGGAUAUCUUUUCAAUUAUAUAUAUCUAAAGAGUUGCUAAACUCAGUGGGAGCUUAGUGUUUGUUAUUCAACAAACUAAGGCCCAAGUAUAGAUAUAUGUUUCAUUGUGAUGUAUUCAAAUGAGACACAAGGGUAUUGUUUCUACCACGAAUUUUUGAGAACAUAAUGUUUGUUUGCUCGAAAUAAUGUCCUUUUGGAGAUUCGUUUCCAAAAUGACAAGUGGGAGAAAAUAGACCUCGAAAGUCUUCGAGGCGAACAACAAACAUAAACGGACAUUCCGGAGGCUUUUCGAAGUGCUUCAGAAAAUCCGAACUUAUUCUUUAAGGACUUUAGAAGUGGCUUUGAAGAAUAGACAUCUCUUAGAGGACUUACAAGUGCUUCAAGGAGAACAGAAUAUUCAAAGGACUCUCAAAGUGCCUGUUUAUAAUCUAUUGUUUGAUGUUCUAUACCCAAGUAGGCAUAGUGUUCAAGUCACUGAAACUAUGAGAUUCUUCUAUUAGAUAGUGAUGAAACAUAGAGUUCAGGUCAAUGAAACUAUGAGAUUCUUCUAUUAGAUAGUAAAGAAACCUACAACUUGCAAUCGAACUAUUAUCACGUAGAUUAAUGAGUUUGUGACUUGUAAGAAAGCUAUGACGAAACCCAGAUUCCCUAAAAUGGUUAGAGGCUAUAUAUAGACUUAAUGUUUAAUUGGUUAAAGGCCAUAAAAACAUACUCAAUGUUUUGAUGACAAAAUUGAAAAUUUUGUUGAUUUGCAAGAAUGGUUUACACCAAUUGGUUGCAAAUUGGUUUUAAGGAUAAAAACCAUCAAACACAAAGCUAGAUUAGUUGCUAAAGGUUACAAGCAAAUUCACGGCGUUGAUUGUGUUGAAACCUCAUGCAUAAUCAUAAUGCUUAAGUCUAUAAUUCAAGUAAUGAUUGCAUAUUGGUACAUAUGGCAAUUGGAUGACAAAACGUAUUCCUCAAUCAAAUGUUGGAAGAAACUAUGUACAUGGUAUGUCAUAGGAUUUGUGGAUCCAAAUAAAUAAAGCUUGAAAAGGAAAGCUAGCUUAUGAAAUCUAAGUACAGAUUUAAGCAAGAAACUGGGAAUCGGAAUUGUAUUUUAGUGAAGCUAAUAAGUAUUUUAGUUUCAUAAAAUGUACAUGAUUCUUAUAGAUAUAUAAGAAGUUUAGUGGGAGUACAGAAAACUUAAUUGGUCCUAUGUGCAUCAUACACAUAUCUCUCUAUUGUGAAAUAACAUUCAAAUGCUAAAAGGUUAGGUUUGAAAUUAUUCAUCAAUGACGGACCAAGGCGAAACUUAGUACAUACUGGGUAUUAAGAUCUAUUUUCAAAGAUCUUAUAAUAUUGUUUUAGAUUAGUAAUGGCAUUUACUAAAUCAAACACGAAAGACUCCAUUGGAGAUAUUCGACCCAUGUGAAUAAAUCUAAGUAAUGAAUGUUUGAACUAUGUAUAAGCAUUUACUAAGUUAAACAUCAAAGGAUCCAAGUGAGAUUCUUAAACCUAUAUUAUAUGUCAAAGAAUUUAGCUGGAUUCAGUAUCUGCUGAAAUUGAAUGAGCUAAAGUUACAUGAAUAGAAUUCAAUUGAGAAUAAUUCUGCAAAAGAAUUUAUCAUGUAUGAUAUAAUAUGAGGAUCUCCAAAAAUGUAUCGUAUGGCUUUAGGCAUAACGAACAUAUACCAAUCUCUAUUGAUCUAAGUGAAGAUCAACUAGAUUGAGAUAAAAAAAAACUUAUGGUACUUGAAAAUGUACAUAGGAAUAGUUCUUGAUUCAAGGAAAUAAAGAUAUGCUAAAUAUUGAUGCUACACGCAUAAACACUGGCAAAGGAUCAAGCAAGAUUCCUUUGGAGUUAACCAUUGAAAAGGACGAGCUAAAAUAGCAUCGUGUUUGGAAAUGGCAACAUGGAUUGGAGACCAUGAGUUGUUGCGUGGGAAAUUAAAUAUUAAUUUCUAUGUUCUAAGAUAUAGUUGGAAAGUCUUCCGCAUAUCUAUGAACUGCUUGGAUAAGUAAAUCCAAACAAAGCUUCACUAGCAACCUAAACAGUUGAAGUAAAAGUACUUAUUGCCUAAGAAGCAAUAAAACAGAGUUGUUUAUAUUAAUGAGUUCUUCAUUGAACUUGGGAAGAUCACAUGUCAAUUGACUUAAUGGUUCUUCAUUGCAAAAUGCGUAGAACCACUAAUGUAGUAAGAAAGACUAGAUCACAUAAUAAACAAACUCAAAAGAUCUUAUCAUUCUAUCUCGUAAAACAUUCGAUGAAAAGGAUAUUAAUAUUGGCAAAGCAUGAUAACUAAACCUAUGCAACAAGUGAGAAACAACACUCACAUUGUGGCACUGGAAAUCAAGCAUAGCUUUGAAUUCCACGAACUGUUUUAAAGAUGGGUUUGAGGCCCAUGGUUGUAAAACAUUGGGGUUGAACAUUUAUCAUAUAUGAAAUGUAUUUUCAUAUUCCAUUUAAUCUUGGUUUAGUAUUAAAUGAUGAGUACCUUCAAUUUGACGAUAUAUUCAAGAUAGACUGUCAGGACCAGUCCUGUGACUAAGAAAUGUCUAUCAAGUGAACUUGAAUGUCAAAAUUUGAAAAUGGUCCCUGGUCGGAGUUUUCUAUAAAGAUGGACGCAAAGAAAACGUUAGACGACUAGUAUGCAAGAUGACUAGUAGUUCUGUUUCUUGAGCUAUGUGGACAUGGCAAUGUCGUAAUCAUUUGCAUAGAUACUUACUUUGGGAAGACUAGUAUCGGACAGACCUAUGAAACUUUACUGUAAGAGAUGAAAAUCUGUCAUAAGUAAAUUUCAUUAAAAUUAUUAGACACUAAAUCCUCAAUACCUGAGUGAUUUGAGAUUACUUGUUUGAGAACUGGUUGCUUUGACGUUGACCAACCGUCGCACCGUAAAAGGAGGCUAUAAAGGCAACGCUCAGGUAAUCACCUAUCAAACAAAGUCUAAUCUCAAGAUCACAAGAUUGGGAUUGUCCUCCCAUAAAUCGGGAUGAGAUGCUUAAAAGUUGUACAAGGCCACUCGGAGAGCUAGAAACUGUAAAAUGCCUGGCCGUGCUCGGAUGAAUCAUAGGCUAUGAUUAUCUGUUUAUUUGAUCAGUUGAACUCUGAAACCGAGAAACACCUCUGGACAUAAUAAGGAUGACAACUCUUACCUUAUGUUCAAGAGCAAGCAUCGAGCGACAAAGGAAUUAGGAAAUGCACACUUGUUCCCAAGGACAAGUGGGAGACUGAAGGAAAUAAUGCCCUUGGUCCAAGUAUGCAUAUAAUAUUAAGUCUAAUUAAUGCGGUUCAGUAUUAAUUAACAAGUUAAUAAUUCAGUGAGAUCAAGUGAGCUGAAUGCCUAGCUAGAGGCCGCUUCAGUUCAAGUGGAAUUAAUUAUAUUAAUCCACAGCUUACUCUUGACUGAACCCGUAGGGUCACACAAAUAGUACGUAAACAGAUCAAGUAUUUAAUGGCAUUAAAUACUCCAUCUAUGGAUAUUCGGAAUAGACGGAUCUUGGUUCCAGUGGGAUUUGAGAUCGUCAAAGGCAAGAAAUGAAUACUCCGGAAACGAUGAUAUUGCCGAAAACGGAAAUAUGGAUCGUAUCGGAAAUAUAAAUAUUAUCCAAGUCGUAGAUGUUGCCGGAAACGGAAACAUGGUACGUAUCGGAAAAUAUUAUCGGAAAUGGAAAUAUUGCCGGAAUCGGAAAUGUUGCCGGAAACGGAAAUAUUGUCAGAAUCGGAAAUAUUAUCGGAAUCGGAAAAUAAUUCCGGAAACGGAAAUAUUAAAUAUUUGUUCGAAACGGAAAUUAAUUCCGGAAUCGGAAAUAUUAAAUAUUGUUCGUAUCAGAAAUGAAUUCCGGAACCGGGAAUUUAAUCGGAAGCGCAUCGUACGAAUUAACAUCGGAUGAGGCUUGCUAGACGAAGGCCCAGCACGAAGCCAGGCCCACGCCCAGCAAGCCGAGCGCCCAACACGAAGGCCACAAGCCUCGCCAGGCCAAGCGCAAGGCCAGGCCCGGCAAGGCUGCUGGCGCGCGCGCUGAGCGUGCUCGUGGGCUGCGAGGCAGCACUCUUGCGUGUGGGCCGCAAGGCCUGCGCGGUGCGUGCUUCCCUCGUGGUCGUGCGACACUCGUGUUCGUAACGAAUCCUAAUCCUAUCGGAAUUCGUGCAUUGAUUAAAUCCUAAUCCUAAAAGAUUAAAUUUAUUAUUUAGAGUUCUAAUAGGAUUCUAAUAAAUAAAUCCAUAUCCUAGUAGGAUUAUAAUUCCUUUCCAUAAACUCUAUAAAUAGGUGCCUAGGGACACAUAUUUACAUCGACAAUUGAAGUAUUCUAAAGGUAAGAUUUUGAAGCAAAAAUCAGCCAAACACUUGCAACCUAUUAGCCGAAAAUCCUAGUAACCUUAAGGGCGAUUCUAGUUGGUCAAGCUUAAGGCGGAUCCGGACGUGCUGUGGACUAUCUACGGAGGGACGACACUUGGAGUCCUAAAGACUUGUUCUUGUUCGGUUCGGGCGCAGCUAGGGAGGGCAUGCUACAAAGUGAUGUGCUUAUGGUGCGUGGGGGAAAGUUCAAGAAAUCUGGAAAGAAGAGGAAUGCUAAGAAAGGUGGCAACAAGGCCAGCCCAACUAAGCAAACUGGCGCCAAGUCUGAAAAGAGGAAGGUCAGUCAACCCACUUCUGAAUCUGAAUGCUUCUACUGCAAGAAGAAGGGGCAUUGGAAGAGAGAUUUCUUGAAGCUAAAGGAAGAUCAAAAGAACGGAACAGUCGUUCCAUCUUCAGGGACUAAGAAGAAGUAGAAAGUUAAGCAAGGGUGAAGUCGACCUACGAGUGGGAAAUGGAGCAAGGAUUGCUGCAUUAGCUGUAGGAACUUAUUAUUUGUCGUUGCCCUCUGGGCUAGUUUUGGAACUGGAAGAGUGUUUCCAUGUUCCAAGGCUUACUAAAAACAUCAUUUCUGUUUCUUGAUUAGA